GGCAUCUUGGCUUAGUAGGUUAAAGUGCCUGUCUAGUAAACAGGAGAUCCUGGGUUCAAAUCCCAGCAGUGCAG
rnacentral:tRNA from 1 species